rnacentral:rRNA from 1 species
UACGUAGGGUGCGAGCGUUGUCCGGAAUUAUUGGGCGUAAAGGGCUCGUAGGCGGUUUGUCGCGUCGGGAGUGAAAACCAGGUGCUUAACACCUGGCUUGCUUUCGAUACGGGCAGACUAGAGGUAUGCAGGGGAGAACGGAAUUCCUGGUGUAGCGGUGAAAUGCGCAUAUAUCAGGAGGAACACCGGUGGCGAAGGCGGUUCUCUGGGCAUUACCUGACGCUGAGGAGCGAAAGUGUGGGGAGCGAACAGG